UAGCUCAGGUCUCCUCACAUUACACGUAAUAAUCUUUCGCCUUUUACUAAAGAUUACCGUGCGAGGGGACAAUACAAUGAGCCUUUAACGGCAAUUUUUGUUGGCCUAUACCCCCGGUAUAGGCU